rnacentral:rRNA from 1 species
UACGGGGGGGGGCAAGCGUUGUUCGGAAUUACUGGGCGUAAAGGGCUCGUAGGCGGCCAACUAAGUCAGACGUGAAAUCCCUCGGCUUAACCGGGGAACUGCAUCUGAUACUGGAUGGCUUGAGAUUGGGAGAGGGAUGCGGAAUUCCAGGUGUAGCGGUGAAAUGCGUAGAUAUCUGGAGGAACACCGGUGGCGAAGGCGGCAUCCUGGACCAACACUGACGCUGAGGAGCGAAAGCAUGGGGAGCGAACAGG